AUGCAUGGAGAGCCGUGGAAAUUCCGGGACUAUGCUGUGGUGAUAGAAGAGUAUGAUGGCUUUACGAAUGCACAUGAUUACAAACUCAAUCGUAUUCCUGUAUGGGCCAGGAUCAUGGGAGUCCCGGAUGGUCUGACUAAGAAGAAGGAAGUUGCUGAAAAAAUAGCAAAAAAGGUUGGGAAACCACCUGUCAGGGUGGUUGUCAACGAUGGAAGGAUUAUCACUACAAAGUACCUGCGUGCUAGGGUAUUUCUGGAGCUAGACCAGCCACUGGUUCGCUUUGUCCCAAUUACGCUUAAAGAGAGCAAAAAAUACCCGGUUGAAUAUGAAAAGCUUCCUGAUUUCUGUCACUUUUGUGGGCUGAUUGGGCAUGUUGUGUCCGAGUGUGGGGAUGGACUACACCCUCCUAAGACCUGUGAAUGGGGUGAUUGGCUUCUAGUAAAUUUUGAUCGGCCUGAUUCUGAUGGCCAAGCGGGUCGUGGCAGGGACAGAACGGACAGUUUGCUGGCCGAGGAGGGGGCUUUGGCAGAGGCUGUGGUGUAG
rnacentral:rRNA from 1 species